rnacentral:rRNA from 1 species
AGAGUUUGAUCCUGGCUCAGGAUGAAUGCUGGCGGCGUGCCUAACACAUGCAAGUCGAGCGGCAGCGAGGGGUGCUUGCACCCUGUCGGCGAGCGGCGAACGGCUGAGUAACGCGUAGGAAUUUGCCCCAAAGUGAGGGAUAACUGCCCGAAAGGGUAGCUAAUACCGCAUAUGGUCUUCGGAUUAAAGGAUUUAUCCGCUUUGGGAGAAGCCUGCGUUGGAUUAGGUAGUUGGUAGGGUAAUGGCCUACCAAGCCGACGAUCCAUAGCUGGUCUGAGAGGAUGAUCAGCCAGACUGGAACUGAGACACGGUCCAGACUCCUACGGGAGGCAGCAGUGAGGAAUCUUCCACAAUGGGCGAAAGCCUGAUGGAGCAACGCCGCGUGAAGGAUGAAGGCCUUCGGGUUGUAAACUUCUUUUAUGAGUGAAGAAUAUGACGGUAACUCAUGAAUAAGCACCGGCUAACUACGUGCCAGCAGCCGCGGUCAUACGUAGGGUGCAAGCAUUAUCCGGAGUGACUGGGCGUAAAGAGUUGCGUAGGCGGUUUAAUAAGUGAAUAGUGAAACCUGGUGGCUCAACCAUACAGACUAUUAUUCAAACUGUUAAACUCGAGAAUGGUAGAGGUAACUGGAAUUUCUUGUGUAGGAGUGAAAUCCGUAGAUAUAAGAAGGAACACCGAUGGCGUAGGCAGGUGACUGGACCAUUUCUGACGCUAAGGCACGAAAGCGUGGGGAGCGAACCGGAUUAGAUACCCGGGUAGUCCACGCCGUAAACGAUGGAUACUAGCUGUUGGAGGUAUCGACCCCUUCAGUAGCGAAGCUAACGCGUUAAGUAUCCCGCCUGUGGAGUACGGCCGCAAGGCUAAAACAUAAAGGAAUUGACGGGGAC